AAACGUAGGGGGCCAGCGUUGUCCGGAUUUACUGGGCGUAAAGGGCGCGUAGGCGGCUUAGUAAGCGGAAGGUGUAAUCCCGAGGCUCAACCUCGGAACUGCCCUCCGAACUGCUAGGCUUGAGUACGGGAGAGGAUAGUGGAAUUCCUGGUGUAGCGGUGGAAUGCGUAAAUAUCAGGAGGAACACCGGUGGCGAAGGCUGCUAUCUGGAACGUAACUGACGCUGAGGCGCGAAAGCUAGGGUAGCGAACGGGAUUAGAUACCCCGGUAGUCCUAGCCGUAAACGAUGGACACUAGGUGUUGGGGGAUCGACCCCCCCAGUGCUGUUAUGUUAACGCGUUAAGUGUCCCGCCUGGGGAGUACGGUCGCAAGGCUAAA
rnacentral:rRNA from 1 species